UGUUCAAAGCUGGGAACAACUGACAAGUGGUGUUGCUUAUUCUACAUGUACUAGUCGCUACAUCAGCUGCUAUCAAUACAAAGCAUUGUACGAGCUACAAGGUAAUCUGGUAGUUAACAAAUGUGUAACAACUGUAUGCUAAAUCAGUACGCUGGUCCAGUCCACGUUGCUACUGGCUGAACCAGACAUAUGACUAAACAACGUGUUCCAGUCCAUGUUGCUACUGGCUGAACCAGACAUAUGACUAAACAACGUGUUCAAGUCCACGUGCUACUGGCUGAACCAGACAUAGACUAAACAACGUGUUCCAGUCCACGUUGCUACUGGCUGAACCAGACAUAUGAUAAACAACGUGUUCCAGUCCACGUUGCACUGGCUGAACCAAGACAUAUGACUAAACCACGUGUUCCAGUCCACGUUGCUACUGGCUGAACCAGAACUAGACUAAACCACGUGUUCCAGUCACGUUGCUAUGGCUGAACCAGACAUAUGACUAAACCAACCACGUGUUCCAGUCCACGUUGCUACUGGCUGAACCAGACUAUGACUAAACAACGUGUUCCAGUCCACGUUGCUACUGGCUGAACCAGACAUAUGACUAAACCACGUGUUCCAGCUGCACCAUUUCUCACAAUCAAACCAGAAAACAGUUGGAUCCAUCAGAGAGAAACAUACAAACAUGCACAGACACAUUAUCUCAACAGUAGAGAGAGCAACAGCCAUGUUUCUUCAAUAUACAGUUUGGAGAAUUUGUUUGUGUCAUGUGCUCCCAUCCUACUAUGUGUAAAAUCAUUUUUUGAGGAGUGCUGAUAUAAUUCUAUUAGCACCUUUGGACUAUUCCAUUGGUUCCAUUAUACCAGGCAAACUAAUCAAGCACAAGCUCAGGUAUAGUUUUCCUACCACCCAGAAUGUGGCUCUUUCCCAACAGCACGUGAGAAGAUCUGACCCAGCAGCCAGGACAGCAGGGUGAGAGUAGCUACCAAUUUGACACUAGACCUGUAUGAGAAAUUGUGUGUGUACCAGCUCAAGAUUCACCCUUCAACGACAGAUGGACAAGAUGGAUGCUGCAAUUUGCAGGUCCAGA
rnacentral:lncRNA from 1 species